ACAGGGGAAGUAAUGCGCGAACAAGAGAGAGAGAUAGGAAGGUUGAAAAAAGAUCUUGACACGACAGAGGUAGAAAGUCUGAAAAAUGAUCUACUUACAAUAGGUUAGGAACAAACAAAUACCGCGUUUUAUUCAUAUGCGAUUCUUUAUCUGCUACAUAUAAUUUCCGGUAUUCAUUCUUAUCCGUUUUACCACAUAACUAAAUCGACGUGAUGCAUCCAUGAGAGGCCUCCAGAACCGCACUUUCAGUGAACUUACGCACAUAUUAUAAUUCGUUCUAUGCCCCUUAAACCAGGAAAGGGAAAGCGAAAGGGAGCAGGAGUUUUCAUUACCUAUUUCCAAUUACAUUUAUGAUAUGCACAAGAAGGCAGACAUCGCCGUUUUAGACCGUUUUAGUAUGUCAGGUGGAGAAUUUAAAUACACACUUUUACGCGAGUUAUCCAGUAGUGAACUGGGUUCCUCUGCUGCUCGUGUCGCUAGGAACACAAGCUUCAUAUUGUUACAGGAAAUCUACUAUUUUGUUUACCUCUGCUCACACUUGCUUACGUGAAUCAAUGGCAAGCUGUUUUCCUAACAACACCAAUGAAACGGUUAAGUUGUUUCAGGUGUGAAUUGUGCUAAAUGAUCACCUAGCACACAAUUACACGGCGACGAUAGCAGUUGAAUACACACAAGGGUAUGAUUUAAUGUUCGAAGAUAGAUUUUCCGAAGAAAGAUAAGUACUGUUCCCCUGAAGGUCAGUGGAACCUAAUACGUGGAAACUAAUUUUGCGUCUUCUCUGCUACACAGGAGAAGUAAUGCGCGAACAGGAGAGAGGUAAUUGCAUCGCAUUGCUUAUUGCUUAUCGUUGCUUAGUGAUUAAUACAUCUUUGUGGCUUGUGCUUUGAUAAUGUACAACAACAAAAUAAUAGGCUGAAAUAAUGCUGGUAAUUGAAAGCUCUUUGCAUGGAGCUACUGCAAUGAAAUCAAACUGUGGAUGUUUACUCAUCAAGAAUCAAAUUAAUCUUUAGCUCAUCUUCACGGCGGUUAUGAAAAUGACAAGUGUCCUGGGGAGUGAUGAUGGGGAAUCCAGUCAAGUGUAUGUGACGUUUUACCUAGCGCUACAUUGGCGGCCUAAUCAAUUUCAAAAAAAAGAAGAUUGUAGGGUUGCAGGGAAGUGAAUCAAUGUUGUUUUCAAUUAUUUUAAUUAGUAUAAUAAAAUGAGAUAAUUAAUAAAAUAAAAUCGAGAGUUGGAUAUAGCUCCGAGGGCUACCCGAAUCGAGGGAUAUGGGGAGAAAGCAGCAACGGGGUACUGAUCUUAGAUGAUCAGUCAUGAUCAUAUUGAAUGGCGGUGCUGGCUCGAUGGGCCGAAUGGCUUACUCCUACACCUAUUUUCUAUUUUCUAGAGCCAAACACAUUUGCUAGGUCCAAAAACACUAAAAGCAAAUCUAUUCUCUCGACCUUGGUUAUCUGAAUCUGGUAUCAUAUUACACUCAUGUUUUAUUGGCAACCCUGUAAACCAGCAUCUGCAAAUGGUCCAUUUAUAAUUCAGAGGGUAUCAUAAGACUUCAAGAAUAACAUAGUUGUAUCACCUGUACAAUUGAAAGAGAACUUUGAAGUUGAGUAUCCAGGAAGAAGAAUUAAAUGCUACUCGACAGCAUUUUACUAGCUGUUCCUAUUUCGGGUGCUAAUUGGUUUGAACUGCUUUGCGCACUGUUCUUUCUGCAGAGAUAGCGAGAUUGAAUAAAGAGUUCGAAACGGCAGGUGAGCAGUAAACCGGAAGUGUACAUUUACCUCCUGUCCACAUAAAAUGAGAAAACGAAUACUUAGUUUGCUAAGGAUCAUUCUUCCUUUCCACCCUUUAGGUCUCAGACUUUUACGACGACGAAGAAGAACUCCCUCAACUCUGUUUCUCGUCGUUCUUUCAAGGUUCCAUGACUGCACGGCAGCUGUUCCACUUCGAUUUUCGCAACUCAUUACCUUGUUGCUCACGGGCAGCUUCGUACACAUGUACUGCUCCCUUCAAGUUAUUUCUAUGUUGGUGACGGAAAUCGGUUAAGCUGACAAUAUAUGUGGCCAAUCCAUCAGUUCCUAAUCUUUCCUUUGGUUGCACUGUUUAAACCGAUCUUGGUUUACGAUUUUUCGGAGGAAGAGUUUGCUGAGAUGGGUACGAAACGAACGUAGUUUAGAAAUUUCAAAUUCUAUCCUCCCACCAAUAGCAGAGAUGAUUCGUUUGCUUGCUUCAACUGUUAAUCUGAAUAAUUUAUAUUCCUUAUUUCAAAUCCUGAAGACGUUGCAGAUUUUUUAAAUUCCUUUCCUUGAUAUGGGAGAGGAUGGGAGAUUGUCGGUGAUGAUUACACAUAUAAAUUUAAACAUAUUUAGAUCAGCAUCGUGUUUUAAUGGUAGAGUACGAUCCAAGGAGUGAGUGCCCUACUCCGUUAUUUGACAUGUAUCAUCCGGGUUAUUACUAAGAAUGCGAUCGUCUGCUUGCACUAGUAAUGGUGUGGCCAUGUUACAAAUCAUGGCAUCAAUCUGAUUUGUUGCUGGGAUCUUUUGAACUGGGGAUAUUCUCUUGUAUGUGAUGUUCAGUAUGUGAUACGAGAACGAGACCCCUGCAUGCCCUAAGAGAUCGACGCGACGUGCAUUUCUUAUGGUUCGUUGAAAUUCUUCUGCUAUAAAGCACGUUGUGCAAUCGACUGCAAUAUUGACACGAAUAUGAUACGUUCCAGAAGCUCCUCAGUUUGAAAUUCAAAACAGAGCUCUUGGCAACAAAAGUGGCAGGAGAUUUGUUCGAAUUAAUUAUUCGGAAAAUGGCUCCGUAUGUCCGAAGAAUGCACCUCAUCGGAAUGGUGACAUGGGCCUUCUGAAAUGUGUCAACCCAAUGUAGUUCCAUUGGUGCCAUACUGGGUAUUGUUUAACAGAGGAACGAUUUGGUCCCUUUCCCACGUGGCUCUGCCUGAGCAAUUCUUUCAAGCUCUCUAUCCAGCUUGUUAUUUUACUUGUUCUUUUAAGCCUGUACCAUUUUCCUCACAAAUUAGCUUCUGCGCUCUGGUCUCUAAUGCCUUGCUUUGGAAUUUUCUCGUUUUAUAAUUAGUGAGAUAAUAUUUCACCAGUUGAACACUGUAGAAAGAGUCCAAAGAGUCGCCAGAGCUUGGAAAUGGACCAGGGCGGUAAUUAUCUCUUGCUGUGUACUGCAAUAUGCGUAGGGCGCAGUUAUGCUCUACUGAUAUUAUAUGCAGCGCAUGUAAAACUGCAUGUAGAAUUUUGUGAGUAGAUAUAGCAGGUGACCUAAACUGGAAUAUAGUCGCUAGAAAGGCAUGUGGGAGAUUGGUUCCUCUGCUCCGAGGAACAAUUAGACAUACAUAGUCAAGACUUCUUUCAACACCGUUUUUUCUUUCGACGGUGCAACACAUUGCGCUACUGCUAAACAAAAUGCCAGUCUGGUCCAUCAGUUUGAGAAUGGUUAUAAUUUUAGCUGUAACGUUCUCAGUACACUUCCUUUAAUUCAACAGAGGGAAAGUUGCGUGAAAAGGAGGCAGGUAAAUAUACCCCACACGUAAAGGAUUUAUACCUGCGCCAACACAAAGUUAUUUCCCCGCAACAUUUGCAUAAAUCGGGGAAAGUUACUGCACAAAUACACAUCCAUGGUCUAUUGGUUCCCGUCCAAUUUGGGUACAAAACGCCGGCCUUACACAGGUCGCAUUAGCUCCUGCAGAAAGCCCAGUGUUCCAAAUAUCUGAAGCUUUUCCCCCUGUAUCGCCUGCAUGCCCACGUAUUGAAUUUGACUAUCUUGCUAUUUCUUGCCUCAGUAGCUCAUGGAAUGGAUAGUAAUUCUGACAUUACAGCCUUUGGGAUGUUGCUGUUCUUAACUUACUCCCUAUGCCUAAAAUAUAUU